rnacentral:lncRNA from 1 species
AGAGGUUCUGACUGCGCGUGCGUCCGCGGCCUGCGGCGGCUCCGCUCUACCCUGCGAGGAAGAAGCACUGCAGUCACCGCGCAGUUCUGACUUUGGCCGAGCCCUCCUCAAAGGAGCGUUCAGUCAGCAGAGACGCUGCCUCUGAUCAGAGGGGUUCCGACAAGGUAGAAGAGAGCUGUACACAGGCAAUCCCAAACUCCGAGGAGACGGGAAGCGAAUUUCACGCGAGGUUUCGGGAUUGUCGCGAGAAUCCCAACGGCAAGCUAGAAAAGGAAAAGCCCGCGGCUUUUAAGCCAGGAAAGAACGAGGGCAGGCAGAUUCCGAUGGUGGUGCUAGGCAAUCCCUUGGUUGGAGGACGCGUUAACUGUUGGCCUGGGAGCAGAAGUGAAGCGAGAAUUGCAGGAUGUUUUGGAAAAGGCGCGAGGAGGGCUUGCCUGGUGGAGGAAUGGAGACACUCUAGGGGAGGUCCCUAGCUGUAACUGGGGGCGGUGAUCGUUGCCCGAUGUAGAGUGGGAGCUGUCCAGGUCUAAAUGAGGAACUGUGAGCUUUCAGCCCUAGGAGCCACUAUCAAAAUCCCCAGCGUCAGGGUCCUAGACACGCUUUCCAUCUUAAUCGUUGCCGGCGUUUACUGUUAGUCUUCGCGCCUCUAGUAGGAAUCACUGUGUCUUCUGUCUCUGUACUCCCCACCCCCACCCCCACCCCCCGCCCGAGACCGACUGCUAAGGAAGUUCUUGGGAAGCAUUUGUGCUUUAAAAGUGAAAGACUCCCUGGUUCUGAAAGAUGCAGUCACUAAUGAGAGGCUAGGGAUUAACUCGACGGAGAACGAGCGCCCUCUGGUGGGUUUGCAGCAGCUGCGACUCGUGACAAUGCAUACUGUCUAUACUUUGAAAACGUUCUUACAGUAGUCUUGCGUUGCUGAUGAUUAAACCCGGGACUUUUAGAGUUAAGCCAGAA